rnacentral:rRNA from 1 species
UACAGAGGGGGCAAGCGUUGUUCGGAAUUACUGGGCGGAAAGGGCGCGUAGGCGGCCUGCUAAGUCGAACGUGAAAUCCCCGGGCUCAACCCGGGAACUGCGUCCGAUACUGGUUGGCUUGAAUCCGGGAGAGGGAUGCGGAAUUCCAGGUGUAGCGGUGAAAUGCGUAGAUAUCUGGAGGAACACCGGUGGCGAAGGCGGCAUCCUGGACCGGCAUUGACGCUGAGGCGCGAAAGCCAGGGGAGCAAACGGG